CAUGUCCUUUUGAUAAUAAUUUAAGGUCUGAUCUGCUCAAUGAUAAUUAAAUUGCCGCAGUAUUUUGACUGUGCAAAGGUAGCAUAAUAAUUAGUUUCUUAAUUAGAAACUGGAAUGAAUGAUUGGACAAGAAAAUUUCUGUCUCUUUUUUAAUUUUUUUGAAUUUUAUUUUUAAGUGAAAAAGCUUAAAUAUUUAUAAAAGACGAGAAGACCCUAUAGAGUUUAAUAUUUUUGCAUAAUUUAAUAUUAGAAUUAUUUUUUGGGCAGAUUUAUUUAGUUGGGGUGAUUUGAAGAUUAAAAAAAUUCUUUAAAAGUUAAAUUGAUGAUUCUUAAAUUUUAAAUCUAUAGUUUAUAAAACUAAAAUUAAUUACCUUAGGGAUAACAGCGUAAUUUUUCUUAAAAGUUCAUAUUAAAAGGAAAGUUUGCGACCUCGAUGUUGGAUUAAAAUAAAUUUUUGGUGCAAUAACUUAAAAAUUAGGUCUGUUCGACCUUUAAAAUUUUACAUGAUCUGAGUUUAAACCGGUGUAAACCAGGUUGGAUUCUAUCUUUAGAAAGUUAAUAUAUUUUAGUACGAAAGGACCAAAUAUGUAUUAAAUUAAUUG
rnacentral:rRNA from 1 species